CACAGAAGUGCUUCGGAAGCUUCCAUCGAUCGGGGCGCGUGCUACCUACGCUCGGCCUGGUGAUCUUCCUGAUUCUCCAGUUCCUCUGAAGAAUUCAAGGUGAAGACCAUUAGAAAACCAGAGUAAAUAAAGGAAGGAAUUGAAAGCCUGCAAGUAUAAUGUUCAAGGUGACACACAUAUAUUGCUCUGAUUGAUGAGUAGUAGUUCGUUAAGGGUGCUAGAUGCAUGUUGGCUAAUCAUUUCAGAUAUGAUAAGGUUCAUGCAGGGUGUUCAUUGGGUGGAGUAAUUGUUUUCCUUUAUUAAAAGGUUAGCAUACAUCAUCAUGAGCACUGUUUGUGUAGUGAAUACAAAUAGUGUGACCAUCUUAUACAUUGUUUUCAUUGUGCAAUCAAAUUUAAGUCAUGCCUUUCAAACUUGUACAGUAUUAAAUUUCGAUAUGGCAAGCAAGCUUAAUUCCAUAAAGAAGUCAUAUUAUGGAAUGACAUAGAUAUAGUUCAUUUUAUAUUGAACAAAUAGAGAUUUCAAAAGCCAAUCCAGCUUAUACUCAGCAAGAUGAAACAAAAAGCAUGAACAUAAUUUGAAACAUAUAUGCUCUUUAAAUUAGACUGAAGUGGGAUAGAAAGAUUUCAGUAUAAAACUUAAGGUGUUCUUGAACAAGACCGCACCUCAGAUAACACGAUUAGGCAUCGACAAUACUUUUCUGCUAUAUUAAUCUUUUAUUAUCAAUAAGAAUUUCCAGAGAUCCAUGGAAGGUUAGUUAAAAGGCCAUUAAAAAAACUUGUAGUUGACACAUCUCAAGCUAACAUUCUGACUAAAUUUGGUGAAACAGAAAAAAGGAGAAGAGGAACAAGAAAAAGAGCAGUACAUCUCAUGUUUGCACGCUAUAAAAGUUACCUGUUGUGGAUUGGAUCUGGUCCAUUUGGCACCCU
rnacentral:lncRNA from 1 species